GACCAGGUCUUAAAAUUCUUUUGCAACAAUUAUUACAGUACUCAACUGACAGGAUUCAAUAUGUAGGAGGCACUAAACACUUGAAAGAUUGAAAUGUUUCUUUUUUCUUUCAGACUUAUUGUCCAACUAACUCAUUCUCAUUUCAUGUGAAAACCCUAAACUGUCUUCAUUACUAGUUUAUAAGCAUAGAAGGAGCUGGAGAAUUCUGAGUAUCAAAAUGGUUAGUUAUUCCUGCAGUUUAAGAAACAAAACUAACAAAACAAAACUUUCUCACUGAUUUGGUGGCUGACAGAUCUCAUACUCUAUGGUGCUAAUUGCCUUACUCAUUUUUUUUUUCCAUUUGAAACAGAAAUACCAAAGCACAUGCAUGACCAGACUGAAAGAUGGUUGUGUUCUGUACAGCGGCCAUGUUCUGAUGGAUUCUGGAAGACAGAGGGAUGAGACAGGCAGCUGCUGGAGUAUCUCCAACAGGUACAUUCACUGGGAGGAAAGUUGAAGAUACAGUAUUUAAGGACGUCGUUUGUAUUCAUGGAAGUGCUUUUUUUUAUGUUUCUCAUUACUGGAUAUGUUUUCUGCUGAAAAUAUUCUGUCAUCUUCCCCAAAGUGGGCAUUAUCUUAAAGCUGCAAUGAAAAGAGAUAAAGAACUGGAAAAAAAAUCUUUUUUUUUUCUUUUUGAGCAGGUUUGUACACUUCCAUUUUCUUCUCAUCCUCAGUCACUCAGAUGCCUUCUAAAAAUCUCAGAGAUUUAGGGACAGAUCACCUAAAGAGAAAUGCAGUUGAUCCCAUUGGUAUCAAGGAAUUUUCUAGAGAAAUGGUAUGUGGCAAAACAAUUCCAGGUAUUUUCUUGGAUGGGUUAACUUUAUAAAAAUGUAAUGUGUAUCCGACUUUCAUUAGCCCAGGCGCUAGGGAAAGGGCUUAGCUGUUCUUGCUGAUGCACUUUUAUCACUGAUGAAUAGGAUGGUGUGCAGGACAGGACCUGAUUUUUGGAGGCCCUGGUCAGGCUUUACCUUUGCUGGAAAGGGAGGCAACCACAACCAACCACUUCAUCUCUGGGCCUCAUCUUCUUCAUCCUGCGUGAUGGGGAAAAGGAUGUGGAUGUCUUCAAGGCACUUUCUGGUACUAGCCUUCAGCAAUUUUUGGUUCACCUCAAUUAUGGACAUAGUCAAAUGGCUGGUUCACCAAGUGAGGAAAAAACAAUCAUUCUUAUUUUAUGUGUAACUGGAUCUUCUGCUCACAACUUUUCUGAGAAUAAAUUUGUGAAUACCAGCA
rnacentral:lncRNA from 1 species